UACGUAGGGUGCAAGCGUUAAUCGGAAUUACUGGGCGUAAAGCGUGCGCAGGCGGUUCUAUAAGACAGAUGUGAAAUCCCCGGGCUCAACCUGGGAACUGCAUUUGUGACUGUAGAGCUGGAGUACGGCAGAGGGGGAUGGAAUUCCGCGUGUAGCAGUGAAAUGCGUAGAUAUGCGGAGGAACACCGGUGGCGAAGGCGCUCUACUAGGCCGCAACUGACACUGAGGGACGAAAGCUAGGGGAGCGGAUGGG
rnacentral:rRNA from 1 species